UUUAGAUUGUUGCUGAAUUCAGCCAGCUGAUGUCCAUUGACCUCAUGAGGUCCUUUUAUAGUGGCCUAGAUGUACAUUUGCCAAACAAAAUCCUACUGUGGCUUGAUGUUAAUGAUCAGAACUGCUUUUUUUGGGCAUGUCUAAGGAUUCCUCCAGUUUUUUAAAGCUUUGUGAGCCAACAGAUAAAAUUGAAGAUUUUCUAAGAGGCAUUCACAUGGACAUUUUGAUUGUAAAUGAGGAGCUACGCGAAGACGUCUUUCCAAAGGAAAUAAAUGAAAUCUCACCAAUUCUUGUAGAAUGUCAGGUUCUUACUGAUAUCUCGGAUGUCCCCAAGGCUUUUGGACUCCUGAUGGGUUUACUUUAUGCUGUGAACAUUGACUACCCCAAUCACAUUAAGUAAGCCUUUGAGGCUAUGCAAAACACACAAUGAACAUUGGUGGAAGCAGCUGGUCUUCAUGUGUGCAUGGUCUCCGCAACAAGUUGCUACCUAAAAAGUAGCUUUUUUAAGAGAAGCUUCAGGGUUUUUUAUACCGUUUGCAAAUGUUGUAAUGUUGGGUCAAGUUUGUUUUUACACAUCUCAUGUGAACGAGUUUAUUUAAAUAGACAAAUAGACACAAUCUCCUAAGAAUAUUAUACAGUAAUUACAUGUUGUAAUUCAUAUUUGAAUACAGUUUGAUGUGCUAGUUUUUCUUCACUGUAAAAAAAACUUACA